rnacentral:rRNA from 1 species
UACGGAGGGCGCAAGCGUUGUUCGGAAUCACUGGGCGUAAAGCGCGUGUAGGCGGCUUGGCAAGUCGGGUGUGAAAUCCCGAGGCUCAACCUCGGAACUGCACUCGAAACUGCCUGGCUUGAGUCCCGGAGAGGGUGGCGGAAUUCCCGGUGUAGGGGUGAAAUGCAUAGAUAUUGUCAAGAACACCGAUAGCGAAGGCAGCUUGCUAGCCUGUAACUGACGCUGAGGCACGAAAGUGUGGGGAUCAAACAGG